GUGCUUGCUUUGGUAGCACAUAACACUAAAAACCCUCUAACAAUACAAAGAUGAGCAUGGCCCCUGCGCAAGGAUAGCAUGCAAACUCAUGAAGUGAUCCAUAUUUAA
rnacentral:snRNA from 1 species